ACCAAAAGACUUACCAUGUGGCUAAAAGGUUUUAUAAGUAACCAUGUCAACAUGAAACUUCUGAAGACCUGUGUCAUCCUUCUCCUUCUGACUGUGUUGUUCUUUGUACUAAGAAACAUGGACCUGCUGCAGCUAAAUUAUAAAGAAAACUCUGCCAUCAUCAACAAGAAAGUGACCUAUACUCAGCCCAGUGCUCCCCACACUGCUCCUCCCACUGCUCCUCCCACUGCUCCCCACACUGCUCCUCCCACUGCUCCUCCCACUGCUCCCCACACUGCUCCUCCCACUGCUCCUCCAGUGCCUGACAACUUCUGCACCAUCAAGCCACUGUCUUCUGCAGAAGCUGAGGAGGAACGUCUCAUAUUGGACUCCAUUGCUUGGCCUGAAACUCCUCCUCUGCCAGUUCCUUUUUCAUUGAGUCAGACAAGUAAUGCCGCCCACAGCACCUUCAUCAUUCUCCCAGGGGGGGUUGGAGACGAGCGGCAUGUAGGAGACCAGCUGGAAGUUAUGAUAAAAAUGUACGACUUCCAAGGUAACCCCAAGAAGUCUGGAGGAGAUGCAAUUGUUGCCCGGUUGCACAACAGGGCACUUGAAGCAGGUGUGGCUGGACGAGUGGUGGAUCACCUUAAUGGCUCCUACUCUGCUGUAUUCCCUUUACUCUGGGAAGGAAGUGCACAGGUUGAGGUGACGCUUGUCCACUCAAGCGAGGCUAUCACAGUCCUCCGUAGGCUAAACAGAGAACAGCCUGAUAGGACUAUCUUAAAGAGCCUCUUCCGCUCAGGUUCAAUCUCUGAAACUACCAUCUGUAAUAUUUGUCUACGUCAAACCAACCAGCCACAGUGCAACUACACUGACCUCCGUACUGGUGACCCGUGGUUCUGCUACAAGCCAAAGGAACUGAGCUGUGAUACCAGGAUGUACCACAUAAACGGAGGAUUGGGUAUAAAACUCAAGGUUAAUGAGGCGAACCUUUUCAAAAGCAAUGUCAACAUGCAAGUCUUCAUUCAGGCUUCAGGACCGGCCAAUGUUACUGUGCUGCCUCAAAGGAAAGAGCAACCCAUGGAUAGUCUAGGCAAUGGGAUGUCUGGACUCUCUGGGUAUUACUACCAGGGUGUGUGGCGAUCACUAGGUGGCACCAAAGUCCACCAAUUCAACAACUCCUCUGCCAUCAGUCAGUGUCUGAAAGGAAAGGUGGUCCACCUGUAUGGAGACUCCACCGUCAGGCAGUGGUUUGAUUACCUUGAUGCUUCACUUCCAGAUGCUAAAGAGAUAAACCUGAAUAAUCCAAAGAAAGUAGGAACUUUCAUGAUAUGGGACAAUGCAAAAAACAUCUUGGUGAAGUUCAACUUACACGGUCCUCCUCUUAGUAUUUCCGUCCUUAUCCCAACCAGUGAGCUGCGUUACAUUGCCAAUGAAAUAGAUGAUGUAGUUGGUGGCUCCAACACAGUUGUAAUUUUUGGUAUCUGGGCCCACCUCACUCCUUUCCCAAUGCAAUUCUACAUCAGAAGGCUUUACGGUAUCCGCAGGGCGGUGAUUCGUCUGUUAAACAGGGCUCCAGACACGCUGGUGGUCAUCAGGACUCCACACCUCAGAGGUACAAACCCCUAUAAAUUUGCCUUUAAUGACUGGUAUGCUAUUCAACAGGACAAGGUGGUCAGAGCUGUGUUCAAAGGACUUAAUGUUCAGCUGGUGGAUGCCUGGGAGAUGGUUCUGGCCCACCACCUGCCUCACCACGUUCACCCACCUCCUCCCAUCAUUAAGAAUAUGGUUAACAUUAUAUUGUCCCACAUGUGCCCCCAAUAGUGCAUUUAAUAAUAAUAAUAACUUUAUUUAUAUAGCACUUAUCUAAACAAGGUUACAAAGUGAGUUUAGGUGCUCUGAUGGCAAAUGCCCGGUCGCCCUUGGUAACCAGCCUAGAUCUAGGAACGACUCUUGAUGAUCUAAGAUUUGGCUCGGAGCAUAAGGGGUUAAAAGUUCUUUAACGUUAGACCUAUAUAGUUAACGCUAGACCGUGUUGUGUUUUAAAAGUUUUUAAACUAAUUUUUAAAUCAACCCUGUAAGUAACGGGCAGCAAAUGGAGGGAGGAAAGGAUUGGGGUAAUGUUGGACCUGCAGUUUGCAUUUAUUAAAAUCCGAGCAGCAGCAUUUUGCACUUGCUGGAGUCUGGCCAUUGAGGACUGACUAAGGCAAGUCAAAAGUGAGUUGCAGUAGCCCAAACAUGAAAAGACAAAGGCAUGAAUAAGCUUCUCUAGAGCAGGGAAAGACAGAGUUGAUUUAAUUUACUAAUGUUUCUUAGCUGGUAGUAGCAGGAUUUAAUGAGAUUAUUGAUGUGCGGAAUGAAGUUAAGCUGUGAAUCAAAUGUAAUACCUACAUUUCUACCUGUAGAUUUUAUAUUGGGUGUUAGAGGACCAAAGAGCAGCUUGAAUUUGCUUGCUAUAUGAUCGGGGCCAAAGAAAAUGACCUCUUGUCUUCCCUGUAUUUAGCUGCAGACAAUGACAGCUCAUCCAUUUCUCGAUGGGGGCCAUGCACUCCACUAAAUUGUUUAAGCGGCUGAUCUUGUCUGACUUGAAGGACAGAUAUAUUUGCGCAUUAUCAGCAUAACAGUGAUAGGAGACCCCCUCAAAGUAAUUCAUAAUAUUUCCAAGUGGGAGCAUAUGAAGGGAAAACAAAACUGGACCAAGAAUUGAGCCCUGUGGCAGACUGUAUGUCAAUU